rnacentral:rRNA from 1 species
AAAGCCCCGCAAGGGGCAAGUAGAGUGGCAAACGGGUGAGUAACACGUGGGUGACCUGCCUUCGAGCGGGGGAUAACGUCCCGAAAGGGACGCUAAUACCGCAUAACAUCCUGCCUUUGAAGAGGUGGAGAUCAAAGCUGGGGAUCGCAAGACCCGGCACUUGAAGAGGGGCCCGCGUCUGAUUAGCUAGUUGGUGGGGUAAUGGCCUACCAAGGCAACGAUCAGUAUCCGGCCUGAGAGGGCGGACGGACACACUGGGACUGAGACACGGCCCAGACUCCUACGGGAGGCAGCAGUGGGGAAUUGUUCGCAAUGGGCGCAAGCCUGACGACGCAACGCCGCGUGGAGGAUGAAGAUUUUCGGAUCGUAAACUCCUGUCGAAUGGGACGAAUAGAUUGCGGGUUAACAGCCCGUGGUCCUGACGGUACCGUUAAAGGAAACCCCGGCUAACUCCGUGCCAGCAGCCGCGGUAAUACGGGGGGGGUAAGCGUUAUUCGGAAUUACUGGGCGUAAAGGGCUCGUAGGCGGCCAACUAAGUCAUACGUGAAAUCCCUCAGCUUAACUGGGGAACUGCGUGUGAUACUGGAUGGCUUGGAUGUGGGAGAGGGAUGCGGAAUUCCAGGUGUAGCGGUGAAAUGCGUAGAUAUCUGGAGGAACACCGGUGGCGAAGGCGGCAUCCUGGACCAUUAUUGACGCUGAGGAGCGAAAGCCAGGGGAGCAAACGGGAUUAGAUACCCCGGUAGUCCUGGCCCUAAACGAUGAAUGCUUGGUGUAGCGGGUAUCGAUCCCUGCUGUGCC